AUUACAGAAGCAGCAGCUUUGCAUAUAAAAGAUAUGAUGAAAGAGCAUGAAGAAGAAAACGCGUUUCUGCGUGUA
rnacentral:tRNA from 1 species